rnacentral:lncRNA from 1 species
AGAGACAGAGCCAAGUGAUCUCCCGCAGCACCUGCCCUCUCCUGAGCUAUGCCUCUGGCCUUCCCGCCUCCUCCUCCACACGGACCUCCGCGCCCCCUGAAGAAGGGGGGAAAAAGAAAUACGCAUUAAUACCUCGAGCCUUGGCGCACCAGCCCUCGCCCCCUCAACCACCUGUCUCUGCGUUCUCCCCCGCAGCCUUCCUCAACUCUGGGCGCCCCCUCUGCAGCAAAGGGGCACCACGCCCACUGCGGAGAGGAGAAAUGCAAGGGAUAUCUCCACUGGACGCCCAACCUCACAUUUCCGCCUGUAGAAAUUCCACCUGUCCUUUAAGGCCAACUCGAAAACCUCUUCCUCUCUGAUUUUCCCAAUCAGCAAUGUCAUUUAUGACCUCAGUUUUCUGAGAGUAUGUCUUUUAUGGCUGUUAACAUGUUAUAAACACACCUGUAUUUAUUUCUGUGGUUGGUUUUCUUAUCUCCUUCUAGAUAGCAAAACUGUUUUAAGAUCAGUUUCUCCCUCUGCAACUACUAAGGGCCUUACAUGGUAUGCCUUCGACAAACAGUUCUUAAGUAAUCAGAGAGAUUGGAUUGAGAGAAUAGGAGGCCCAGCAAAUGCCUUUGCUCUACC